rfam:Clostridium sp. CAG:169 genomic scaffold, scf6
AGAUAUGCGUUGAAGCGGGAGGUUGCUAUCCCAGAGAUAGGUAAUUUCCGCCGAGUAUGUCCGAUUUUAAACCGGGCGGCUU